rnacentral:lncRNA from 10 species
AGCUGUUAAGGCUUGAGAAAUUUGGGAUAUGCAUCUCAUGUACAAUUAUACUGUUCUCUAUUUUAAAAGAUGCUGCAACUCACAGUGCUUGUAUUUUUGUGUUUAUUUCUUGCUAAAGAUAUCUUCGGAUAUAUAGCAUUUCGUACUUUUUAGCAGAACGAGUCGACCUGCAUUGAUUUGAGAUUCUGCCCGUCAGUAACUAAACGACCCUGGCUUCAGAGCCCAUGCAGUCUCUUAAAAGCAGAGAUAAGAAGCCAGUCAUUAGACAGCAGAAACUGGAAAAGAAGAAGAAACAUAAGGGAGAGGUGAUCGGGCUGUAUAAAUUCCAUUCCGGGUGGAUCCUACAAAAGAAUGGCCUGUGAAGAGACAGACAAGUGCACAAGAGAGAAUGCACGUGAACAUGAAGAGGUGGGGGUGAUGCAUCCACAAGCCAAAGCGUGCUACAGAUAGCCCAAAAAUAUCAGAAGCUAGGAGAGAGGCCUGGAACUGGUUUUUCCUCUCAGCCCUCAGAAAGAACCAACCAACAUCCUGAUCUCAGACCUCUAGGCACAAGAACUGUGGAACAAUAAAUUUCUGUUUAA